rnacentral:rRNA from 1 species
CAGCGUGGAUUAGGCAUGCAAGUCGAACGGGAUCCGCAAGGUAGCAAUACUGCGCGGUGAGAGUGGCGGAUGGGAGGAGCACGUGAGCAACCUGCCCUGGAGAUGGGGAAAACCGUUGGAAACGACGGCUAAUACCGAAUGUGGCGGCCGAUGGCAUCAUUGGACCGCUGAAGGGGGCCGCAAGGCUCUCGCUCCGGGAUGGGCUCGCGCACCAUCAGCUAGUUGGCGGGGUAACGGCCCACCAAGGCUUACGGUUAGCUGGUCUGAGAGGAUGACCAGCCCCCACUGGGACUGAGAUACUGCCCAGACUCCUACGGGAGGCUGCAGUCGAGGAUCAUUCGCAAUGGACGAAAGUCUGACGAUGCGACGCUGCGUGGAGGAUUGAAGGCCUUCGGGUUGUAAACUCCUGUCAUGAGGGAAGAGGCGAGGGGACCUAAUACGUUCUUUAGUUGACUGUACCUCAAGAGGAAUGGGCGGCUAACUCUGUGCCAGCCGCAGC